ACACGAACCGGACAAACGUUAUUCGGAAUUAUUGGGCUUAAAGGGUGCGUAGGCGGCGCGGUAAGUGAGGUGUGAAAGCCCACGACUCAAUCGUGGAAUUGCGCUUCAUACUGCCGUGCUAGAGGGAGACAGAGGUAAGCGGAACUGAUGGUGGAGCGGUGAAAUGCGUUGAUAUUAUCAGGAACACCGGUGGCGAAGGCGGCUUACUGGGUCUCUUCUGACGCUGAGGCACGAAAGCUAGGGUAGCGAACGGGAUUAGAUACCCCGGUAGUCC
rnacentral:rRNA from 1 species